AGUGAACGCUGGCGGUAGGCCUAACACAUGCAAGUCGAACGGCAGCACAGUAAGUGCUUGCGCUUACGGGUGGCGAGUGGCGGACGAGUGAGGAAUACAUGGGAGUCUACUGGUUCGUGGGGGCUAACGCAGGGAAUCUUACGCUAAUACCGCAUACGACCUACGGGGGAAAGCAGGGGAUCUUAGGACCUUGCGCGAUUGUAUGAGCCGAUGUCGGAUUAGCUAGUUGGCGGGGUAAAGGCGCACCAAGGCGACGAUCCGUAGCUGGUCUGAGAGGAUGAUCAGCCACACUGGAACUGAGACACGGUCCAGACUCCUACGGGAGGCAGCAGUGGGGAAUAUUGGACAAUGGGCGCAAGCCUGAUCCAGCCAUACCGCGUGGGUGAAGAAGGCCUUCGGGUUGUAAAGCCCUUUAGUUGGGAAAGAAAAGCAGUAGGUUAAUACCCCGCUGUUCUGACGGUACCCAAAGAAUAAGCACCGGCUAACUUCGUG
rnacentral:rRNA from 1 species